UACGUAGGUGGCAAGCGUUGUCCGGAAUUACUGGGUGUAAAGGGAGCGCAGGCGGGAAGCCAAGUCAGCUGUGAAAACUACGGGCUUAACUUGUAGACUGCAGUUGAAACUGGUUUUCUUGAGUGAAGUAGAGGUUGGCGGAAUUCCGAGUGUAACGGUGAAAUGCGUAGAUAUUCGGAGGAACACCGGUGGCGAAGGCGGCCAACUGGGCUUUAACUGACGCUGAGGCUCGAAAGUGUGGGGAGCAAACAGG
rnacentral:rRNA from 1 species